rfam:Orchesella cincta Ocin01_Sc1470, whole genome shotgun sequence.
AACUGGGGUUAUUUUUUUUUUGUUGCGGUUAAAAAGCUCGUAGUUGGAUCUCGGUUUCGGGCGGGUGGUGCACCUUGCGGUGUUUACUGUCUGCCCGGACGAUUUUGCUAGUUCGUUCAUGGUGCUCUUAACCGGGUGCCUUGAGUGGCUAGCACGUUUACUUUGAAAAAAUUGGAGUGCUCAAAGCAGGCGCUACAGCCUGAACAUUCGUGCAUGGAAUAAUGGAAUAGGACCUCGGUUCUAUUUCGUUGGCUUUCGGAGUCGAGGUAAUGAUUAAUAGGGACAGACGGGGGCAUUCGUACUGCGACGUUAGAGGUGAAAUUCUUGGAUCGUCGCAAGACGAACUACUGCGAAAGCAUUUGCCAAGAAUGUUUUCAUUAAUCAAGAACGAAAGUUAGAGGUUCGAAGGCGAUCAGAUACCGCCCUAGUUCUAACCAUAAACGAUGUCGACUGGCGAUCCGUCUCCGUUAACUGAAUGACUAGACGGGCAGCCUCCGGGAAACCAAAGUGUUUGGAUUCUGGGGAAGUAUGGUUGCAAAGCUGAAACUUAAAGGAAUUGACGGAAGGGCACCACCAGGAGUGGAGCCUGCGGCUUAAUUUGACUCAACACGGAAAACUCACCAGGCCCGGACACCGGAAGGAUUGACAGAUUGAGAGCUCUUCUUGAUUCGGUGGGUGGUGGUGCAUGGCCGUUCUUAGUUGGUGGAGCGAUUUGUCUGGUUAAUUCCGAUAACGAACGAGACUCUGGCCUACUAACUAGACGUUGGAUCCCUUGUGGGUCCUUCGCAGCUUCUUAGAGGGACGGGCGCGUUUAGCCGCACGAGAUAGAGCAAUAACAGGUCUGUGAUGCCCUUAGAUGUUCUGGGCUGCACGCGCGCUACACUGAAGGACUCAGCAUGUGUUCCCUGUCCGAAAGGAUCGGGAAACCCUCUGAACCUCCUUCGUGGGGAUUGGGGAUUGCAAUUAUUCCCCAUGAACGAGGAAUUCCUAGUAGGCGUGAGUCAUCAGCUUGCGUCGAUUACGUCCCUGCCCUUUGUACACACCGCCCGUCGCUACUACCGAUCGAGUGAUUUAGUGAGGCCUUUGGACUGGUCUUCGUUAUGGCUUUCGGGUCGUGCCGGAGUACCGGGAAGAUGACCAAACUUGAUUACUUAGAGGAAGUAAAAGUCGUAACAAGGUUUCCGUAGGUGAACCUGCGGAAGGAUCAUUA